ACACACACACACACACUGAACACACACUAUUACCAGUCUGAGCCUUUAACUCUAGGCGUUUAUCUUCAGUAACAGCGGCUCUGUCUUAUUGCAAACAUGGGCAACUAUUUCUCUCUGAUUUUCUCUCGUCUCUAUCCGAAAAAGCAGAUUAGGUUGCUUAUGGUGGGUCUGGACGCAGCAGGGAAAACAACAGUCCUCUACAAACUCAAACUCGGCGAAGUUGUCACAACUAUUCCAACUAUAGGUUUUAAUGUUGAAACAGUUGAAUAUAAAAA